rnacentral:rRNA from 1 species
UACAGAGGUCCCAAGCGUUGUUCGGAUUCAUUGGGCGUAAAGGGUGUGUAGGUGGCGCGCUAAGUCGGGUGUGAAAUUUCGGGGCUUAACUCCGAAACUGCAUUCGAUACUGCCGUGCUUGAGGACUGGAGAGGAGACUGGAAUUUACGGUGUAGCGGUGAAAUGCGCAGAUAUCAGGAAGAACACCAACGGCGAAGGCAGCUCGCUAGGACGGUACUGACGCUGAGACGCGAAAGCGUGGGGAGCGAACAGG